UGCAAUGGCUUCGGCCUGGUGAGGCAGUAGAGAGAGAGCAGGCUGCGGCCUCCUUUAUCCCACAAUGCACUGUGCAAAGAGCACAGUGCACUGGGGGAUUUCCCAAAGCAGGCAGCCCAAGCAGCCAAACAACCAGGGACUGGGAUGGAAGAGCAUGCUCGCGCCUGUCUACCUCCAUAAAAGCCCGCAUCAAUGACCUGGGCUACCCAGCAGCUUACCCAGAUUCCACUUUCACCACGAAGCAUGCUGAACAAAAGCUUCAACUCCUUGACAGUGAUGCUGUAGCUGGCAAGAACCCCCAACAUAUCAACGAGAAGAUCUUCAAAGGAAAAUAAAAUUACUCUACCUCUUGUUCCAA